rfam:Lactobacillus composti DSM 18527 = JCM 14202 strain DSM 18527 NODE_58, whole genome shotgun sequence.
UCCGCCGCGAGGUGGAAUCUGAAGGAAGUCUAAAGCAAAGUGCUGAACCAAUGAACAAGAAGUGGCUAUAAGGCUGUUUGCAGUGGAUAAGGUUGCUUUACAAACUGAAGUCCAAUACUACUCGAAACUGUAUGCAGUAAAGCCAAUGGUUGCAUGGCACGAAAGUUAUCGUU